UCCGGAUUCACAGCGCUAAG
rnacentral:misc_RNA from 1 species